rnacentral:rRNA from 1 species
AGAGUUUGAUCCUGGCUCAGGAUGAACGCUAGCUACAGGCUUAACACAUGCAAGUCGAGGGGCAGCACGGUCUAGCUUGCUAAGACUGGUGGCGACCGGCGCACGGGUGAGUAACGCGUAUCCAACCUUCCCCUUAGUAGGGAAUAGCCCGGUGAAAAUCGGAUUAAUGCCCUAUGUUCUUCACAGCGGACAUCUAACGUGAAGCAAGGAUUCAUCGCUAAGGGAUGGGGAUGCGUCUGAUUAGGUAGACGGCGGGUAACGGCCCACCGUGCCUGCGAUCAGUAGGGUUCUGAGAGGAAGGUCCCCCACAUUGGAACUGAGACACGGUCCAAACUCCUACGGGAGGCAGCAGUGAGGAAUAUUGGUCAAUGGUCGAGAGACUGAACCAGCCAAGUAGCGUGCAGGAUGACGGCCCUAUGGGUUGUAAACUGCUUUUAUCGGGGGAUAAAGUCGCCUACGUGUAGGCGUUUGUAGGUACCCGAUGAAUAAGGACCGGCUAAUUCCGUGCCAGCAGCAGC